UUUAGCGGCCAUUCAUUGCCAAUGCCCGAUCUGGUCUGAUCUCAGAAGCUAAACAGGGCUGGGCCUGGUUAGUACUUGGAUGGGACACCACUGGGAACAGGUGCCGCAGUGG
rnacentral:rRNA from 1 species